rnacentral:rRNA from 1 species
GACGAACGCUGGCGGCGUGCCUAACACAUGCAAGUCGAGCGAAGUGCUUAUAACGGAUUCCUUCGGGAUGAAGAUAUAAGUAUCUUAGCGGCGGAUGGGUGAGUAACGCGUGAGAAACCUGCUUUUCACAAAGGAAUAGCCUCGGGAAACUGGGAUUAAUACCUUAUGAUACUUCUACUUCGCAUGAAGAAGAGGUUAAAGCGUAAAGCGGUGAGAGAUGGUCUCGCGUCCCAUUAGUUAGUUGGUGAGGUAAUGGCUCACCAAGACGACGAUGGGUAGCCGGCCUGAGAGGGUGGCCCCCCACAAUGGUACUGAAACACGGACCAUACACCUACGGGUGGCAG